UAUGUGAUCGUCUCUCGCAUAUCAAUAAGCGGAGGAAAAGAAACUAACAAGGAUUCCCCUAGUAACGGCGAGUGAAGCGGGAAGAGCUCAAAUUUGAAAUCUUAAAGGGUUUCCCUUUACGAAUUGUAGUUUAAGGAAGUGUUUUCUGUUGAGGUUUUGGUAAAAGUUCUUUGGAAUAGGACAUCAUAGAGGGUGAGAAUCCCGUAUUUGACCUUUACUUUCAACUUUGUGAUACACUUUCAAAGAGUCGGAUUGUUUGGGAAUGCAGUCCAAAAUGGGUGGUAAAUUUCAUCUAAAGCUAAAUAUUGGCGAGAGACCGAUAGCGAACAAGUACCGUGAGGGAAAGAUGAAAAGAACUUUGAAAAGAGAGUUAAACAGUACGUGAAAUUGUCAAAAGGGAAGCGUUUGACACCAGUGUUGUUUUUCUGAAGAUCAAUUAAAGAACUGUUUAUGCUAAGCUGUUUAGACUUUAUCAGCUAUCUGUUUAGUUUUGAGCUUUUCUUUAAUGCACUUUUCAGUUAACAAGUCAACAUCAAUUUCUUUUGCUGUAAAAAAGCUUGAGGAAGGUGGCUUGAGAUUCGUCUUAAGUGUUUAUAGCCUCUUGCCUAUGCAGUCGGAGAGAUUGAGGUCUGCAGCGUAGAUCCUUCGGGGCUAAAUGCAUCUGUGCUAAGUUAUAGCAUUUUAUAGACAACUUGUUGACUAUGAUUUGUCUUGUAGCUUACUCGCUUAUGUUAUUUUACCUACGCUUAGGAUGUUGAGUAGCGACAUACGCAC
rnacentral:rRNA from 1 species